CCACAGCAUCAUGUCUUGCUGCAGCUACUGGCAUAUCCUGUCUAACCCCAUCCCCCAAUAUGACUGCAUUACAAACAAGGAUAGAAAGAAAACAACAAAAUUUAAGGACUGCACUGAAGAUGCGCAGGGAAAAAAAAUACCCAUCAUCAAACAAACAAAGAAGGGACACACACUUUCAGCCAGAAGACAACAGAAGAAGGUAUUGGGAGUCAGCACCACACCAAAAAGGACAUGGUUCCUGCUACAGUUUGUAUUCAAAACCACAAACCACCUUGCAAAGCAAUCUCACAGAAACCAAAAUACUGAGGUACCUGACAAGAGAGUGAACAAGCUCAAGGGAUAAAAAUCCCUAACAAUAUAGAAAUCACAUCCUUCUCAUGAAUCUCUAAGCUGACCUCUUCCUGGGCAUCUGCUGACCUCCACAGAUGCUCCUGGGCUAAAGCGGCCUUGAAUCCAAACCAGUGCAGAGAGUCACUAUUACCUGCUCACAAGGCUCUGGCAUGGCCACGGACUGGAGAGACCUCACACUUGGUACCAUCCAGCCAGCUGCUCUUGAGUGCUCACCGCAACACACUCCACAGCUUACCCCAGGGAUUCUCCAAAAGGCACCAGGGUACUGCAGGCUUCCUAUGCCAUUAUUCCCAGCACUGCAGGGUUUGUUUACUAUGAGCAGCCUCACAGGAAGCAGCCAGGCUGGAGAGAGCAAAACUGAAAGGGUGCAGAUACUAUCAAAGCUGCUCUCCCUGCACAAAGGCAAACUUCACAGAAGUUCAGUAUCUAAAGAGAAGCUCGGUUCAGAAAUGAAGCAGAAGACUUUCUGCUUAGAAAAAGACCUGAGAACAGUGACGAGAAAAGACUCAAAUUAAUGCCAUAGCAGCAGCAUCAAGCAGGUAAAAUUUGUUUCCAGUCUGGUCACCUUGUUUUAGACCUGCACUUGAGUUUUUCUCCCCUUAAAGAAAUGUUUGCUUUGUUGUUUGGUUGAAGUUGUUAGGAAGCAAUCAGCUGUUAUGCAGAAUUAAAUACUUUCUAUUAUGCAAAGGCUGAUGCUGUCUGAGCUGUAACUGCAUGGCUGUGAACAGCAUAUUAAUUCAAAGUCUGUAUGAUUACACUUUACCAUUAAAGGUCACUCAGCAUUU